rnacentral:rRNA from 1 species
UGGGGAAUUUUGGACAAUGGGCGCAAGCCUGAUCCAGCAAUGCCGCGUGCAGGAUGAAGGCCUUCGGGUUGUAAACUGCUUUUGUACGGAGCGAAAAGGUCUGCCCUAAUACGGUGGGCUCAUGACGGUACCGUAAGAAUAAGCACCGGCUAACUACGUGCCAGCAGCCGCGGUAAUACGUAGGGUGCGAGCGUUAAUCGGAAUUACUGGGCGUCAAGCGUGCGCAGGCGGUUAUGCAAGACAGAGGUGAAAUCCCCGGGCGCAACCUGGGAACUGCCUUUGUGACUGUAUAGCUAGAGUACGGUAGAGGGGGAUGGAAUUCCGCGUGUAGCAGUGAAAUGCGUAGAUAUGCGGAGGAACACCGAUGGCGAAGGCGAUCCCCUGGACCUGUACUGACGCUGAUGCACGAAAGCGUGGGGAGCAAACA